rnacentral:rRNA from 1 species
UGCUAUCAUGCAGUCGAGCGAACGGACGAGAAGCUUGCUUCUCUGAUGUUAGCGGCGGAYGGGUGAGUAACACGUGGAUAACCUACCUAUAAGACUGGGAUAACUUCGGGAAACCGGAGCUAAUACCGGAUAAUAUUUUGAACCGCAUGGUUCAAAAGUGAAAGACGGUCUUGCUGUCACUUAUAGAUGGAUCCGCGCUGCAUUAGCUAGUUGGUAAGGUAACGGCUUACCAAGGCAACGAUGCAUAGCCGACCUGAGAGGGUGAUCGGCCACACUGGAACUGAGACACGGUCCAGACUCCUACGGGAGGCAGCAGUAGGGAAUCUUCCGCAAUGGGCGAAAGCCUGACGGAGCAACGCCGCGUGAGUGAUGAAGGUCUUCGGAUCGUAAAACUCUGUUAUUAGGGAAGAACAUAUGUGUAAGUAACUGUGCACAUCUUGACGGUACCUAAUCAGAAAGCCACGGCUAACUACGUGCCAGCAGCCGCGGUAAUACGUAGGUGGCAAGCGUUAUCCGGAAUUAUUGGGCGUAAAGCGCGCGUAGGCGGUUUUUUAAGUCUGAUGUGAAAGCCCACGGCUCAACCGUGGAGGGUCAUUGGAAACUGGAAAACUUGAGUGCAGAAGAGGAAAGUGGAAUUCCAUGUGUAGCGGUGAAAUGCGCAGAGAUAUGGAGGAACACCAGUGGCGAAGGCGACUUUCUGGUCUGUAACUGACGCUGAUGUGCGAAAGCGUGGGGAUCAAACAGGAUUAGAUACCCUGGUAGUCCACGCCGUAAACGAUGAGUGCUAAGUGUUAGGGGGUUUCCGCCCCUUAGUGCUGCAGCUAACGCAUUAAGCACUCCGCCUGGGGAGUACGACCGCAAGGUUGAAACUCAAAGGAAUUGACGGGGACCCGCACAAGCGGUGGAGCAUGUGGUUUAAUUCGAAGCAACGCGAAGAACCUUACCAAAUCUUGACAUCCUUUGACAACUCUAGAGAUAGAGCCUUCCCCUUCGGGGGACAAAGUGACAGGUGGUGCAUGGUUGUCGUCAGCUCGUGUCGUGAGAUGUUGGGUUAAGUCCCGCAACGAGCGCAACCCUUAAGCUUAGUUGCCAUCAUUAAGUUGGGCACUCUAAGUUGACUGCCGGUGACAAACCGGAGGAAGGUGNGGAUGACGUCAAAUCAUCAUGCCCCUUAUGAUUUGGGCUACACACGUGCUACAAUGGACAAUACAAAGGGCAGCGAAACCGCGAGGUCAAGCAAAUCCCAUAAAGUUGUUCUCAGUUCGGAUUGUAGUCUGCAACUCGACUACAUGAAGCUGGAA